GAUGAACGCUGGCGGCGUGCUUAACACAUGCAAGUCGAACGAUGAAGCCCAGCUUGCUGGGUGGAUUAGUGGCGAACGGGUGAGUAACACGUGAGUAACCUGCCCUUAACUCUGGGAUAAGCCUGGGAAACUGGGUCUAAUACCGGAUAGGAGCGUCCACCGCAUGGUGGGUGUUGGAAAGAUUUAUCGGUUUUGGAUGGACUCGCGGCCUAUCAGCUUGUUGGUGAGGUAAUGGCUCACCAAGGCGACGGCGGGUAGCCGGCCUGAGAGGGUGACCGGCCACACUGGGACUGAGACACGGCCCAGACUCCUACGGGAGGCAGCAGUGGGGAAUAUUGCACAAUGGGCGCAAGCCUGAUGCAGCGACGCCGCGUGAGGGAUGACGGCCUUCGGGUUGUAAACCUCUUUCAGUAGGGAAGAAGCGAAAGUGACGGUACCUGCAGAAGAAGCACCGGCUAACUACGUG
rnacentral:rRNA from 1 species